UCGUUCCGUCUCCACCAACCGACCGCGACAACAGGGAACUCGAGCUCCUAAUGGCGCCGCCGGUCGUUCUAUUGAAUCGGAGGGAGGCAGGGGUAGGAAUAAUUGCGACUGAUCAAGGUGUGGCGGGCGCAUAGCUUGCUUCACUGGCACCUCCGCCCUGUGUGGCUUUGCGUCGAUCGAUCCGGACGAUGGUACUAGGGCUUCAGUCGAGCGAUGGCGGAGGCAUCGAAUCGGUGCGGUGCGGGGCUGCCGCUGAUAUGCAGUACCGCUCAUGCGUUCGAUGCUCAAUCCCUUCAUCUGCUAUUUCGAAGGGCUUCCAAUGGGACCCCCCCCCCCCCCCCUAAAUCCUGACUUGCUUUGCAAAUUUACUGCUAGGUAUGGAUUAAUCAGGUGGUCUCAUUAUAUCUCAGUUCGUGGAAAUAUUUCGGACCAUAUAUAUGCUCGUUCUGUUUAUAUUGUCGGUGUAAUCCUAUUACAAUUAUGUUUGCAUUACUAUUCUUGAACCAAAACACGUCCUAAGCUGCAAGGCCGGCCGUUUUAUAAGUUGCAAUCGACAACAAAGCUAGGCCUGCUGCCGCUGCAUGUGUUAUAUCCUUGAUUGAUUAGCACCAAGUAAUCGAUCUCCUGCGGCGUCCAAGUCAAAUUAUGGAGUCACCGCACAACUCGGUCAGAGAUGAAGAUAGAAUUAGUGUGAGCAAAGAUGAAGAUAGGAUCAGUGCACUCCCCGAUGAACUUCUACUCCACAUCCUUGAAUUCCUUGCUAUGGGUGUGGCAGUUCAGACCAGCGUGCUCUCCAAGCGAUGGAUGCACCUCCCUCAUCAGCUCUCGUAUCUGAUAAUGAAUGCCUUGGACUUUCAAGUCCCCGGCUGCACAUUGGGUCAGGUAAUGACAGCUUACACUGAUGCAACAAGGAGAUUGCUGUCUCCUCAGACAUGCAAAUGCAUUCGAACCAUCAAGACCGUGCAGCUCAGUUUCUACCUGGCAGACCCUUACUUGUCCUCUAUUGGUCAUGCGGUCAGGGAUGCAGCGAAGAGCGGUGAGAUAGAAUUCCUGGAGUUUGCGAUAAAUAAACAUGUUGAAUUUCCAAGUGAAGCUCAACUAGUAUUAUUCGGACAGCGGUUUGUGUCAUUCCUCCAUGCUUGCCCUGGUGCUUUCAAAUUACUCACAAAACUGACCCUGCAGAACCUUGUGUUCGAGGACUCAGAUGUCCCCAACAUCCUCGACACUUGCAAUAAACUUCAGCUUCUUUCCUUGAGAUGUUGUGAAUUGGGCCAGGACCCUGUCCUCAAGAUAGAUGCCCCAUGUUCGGAUCUCAGGGCACUUGAAAUUUAUUUAUUUUGGGUGCGCACAAGUCGAGCUAAUCUGUGUUCCUAAACUCAUGCGACUGGUGUACGAUACAUGGUACGGUGAAAACCCUCCAGUGCUUUUUGGCUAUGUUCCUCAGCUUGAUAAAGUAGGCUUCGCUUCUCCUGCCCUAUCUGGGCAGGUACCUUUCACGUUGAGCGAGUGUUUAUCUAGUAACAGAAAUCUGUCGAUCCUCCAUUUGAAUUUUCGCACUCAGAUGAUUUGGAUUAAACCUGAAGGUCCACACCAGCUCACUCCUAUAUUCAGCAAACUAAGAGAUGUGCAUCUUUACGGUAUCCUUUUUGAGUGCAAUCUAGAUUGGACUAUGUUUAUCCUUGAAGGGGCACCUUCCGUCGAGAACUUCUAUAUAUGGAUCCUGAGCAACUCUCUUCUGCAUUCAACAAUCUGAGGCUCAACGCAUUGAUUGACUGUGACCUGAACUCAAGUGGACUGUUUUAUCUUCCUUUAAGCUGCAACUUUCCCUGAAGAAUCUGUAUGGUAAGUUGAUGCGUGAGUAGUACACUUUGUGCUAGUUCCAAUUGCGGUGUUGGAAUUACCUGAUGUAUGAGAGUAGUACACGCUGUGUGCUGGCUUGUCCAAUUUAAAUCAGAAUCAAGCGAUGGCCCGAUGCCCGGUUGGCUAGCAGCGCAUUGAACAGAAUAGCACAUGUUGUACCAAGUGGUUACUGAAGAAGGUUGAAGAAUGUCAUCGCAGCUGGUUUCCGGAAGGGGCUAGAUUGAGACCCUGCAUCGAGACUGAUCAACUGACGGUGAAACUAUAUGCAGCAUUGGGCACACUGAGUUGGGGGAUGGGCAGAAAAUCGAGUUCUGGAGUGACAGGAAAUCCGAUGAAAGCUAUUGAUGAAACUUUGCAAGCGAGACGGAUCGGUUAGAAGUGAUAUCGUUGCCUGAGAUCUCAAGUUACUAGCGGGGAGUUAUACUCGGUUGUCCCCGAUCGGCCGAUCCUUCUAAUUUUCAACAGAUUUUGCGUUUGCUGCCGCCGCGUGAAGCACCCAUCUUUUGCAGGUCACAUCCCGACGGGGCAUCCGUGAUCCGUCGCUGUUGUUAUCACGAACAAGGCUACCGAUGAGUGGAGAAUCGAGAACCAAGCUUACAGGAUGCACGGACUAGGAAGGAUGAAGUAUCUGGGACUAGUCUCUCUAUCAUAGGAUUCUCGGGGGCAGAAUACAGAAGUUAUUUUCAAGUGGUUUCUUUGCGCAACGUUUCAUAGAGAAGUUUCUUAACAUCCAAAGGUUGGCAUGCUUGUCUUGUGGUGUAAUCAAAUAUUAUCUGGUGUAGUUUCAUGUGACAUGUAAUGAUAUAUCACCAGAUAAUAUAGAACUCAAGAAGCCGUCGUAUCGCAAUCAUAGUUGGUUUCCUGAACCCUGCGAAUUAAUAUUGCUAUUCAAUUCAUAUCUGACGAUUCCUUCAAUUCGAGCCAUAUAUAACACAUCUAUUGAGAUGGGAUCAAAGAUAGUCGCUUGGCAACCUGUAUGCCCCAUCUGCUGUGGCACAUGG